UACGUAGGGAGCAAGCGUUGUCCGGAAUCAUUGGGCGUAAAGCGCGCGUAGGUGGCCCCAUAAGUCCGAUGUGAAAGUCAAAGGCUCAACCUUUGAAAGCCGGUGGAUACUGUGGGACUAGAGUACGGAAGAGGCGAGUGGAAUUCCUGGUGUAGCGGUGGAAUGCGCAGAUAUCAGGAGGAACACCAAUAGCGAAGGCAGCUCGCUGGGACGUUACUGACACUGAGGCGCGAAAGCGUGGGGAGCGAACAGG
rnacentral:rRNA from 1 species